GUUGUUGUAGCUCAGUUGGUUAAAGCACCCGUUUCGUAAGUGGGAGGUCUUGAGUUCAACUCUCAGCAAGAACG
rfam:Ipomoea nil DNA, scaffold: scaffold3170, cultivar: Tokyo-kokei standard.